rnacentral:rRNA from 1 species
AUACGGAGGGGACUAGCGUUGUUCGGAAUUACUGGGCGUAAAGCGCGCGUAGGCGGCUUUGUAAGUCGGAUGUGAAAGCCCUGGGCUCAACCUGGGAAUGGCAUUCGAUACUGCAGAGCUAGAGUAUGGUAGAGGGAAGUGGAAUUUCCGGUGUAGCGGUGAAAUGCGUAGAUAUCGGAAGGAACACCGGUGGCGAAGGCGACUUCCUGGGCCAAUACUGACGCUGAGGUGCGAAAGCGUGGGGAGCAAACAGGAUUAGAUACCCCGGUAGUCC